rnacentral:rRNA from 1 species
GAUGAACGCUGGCGGCGUGCCUAAUACAUGCAAGUCGAGCGAACAGACGAGGAGCUUGCUCCUCUGACGUUAGCGGCGGACGGGUGAGUAACACGUGGAUAACCUACCUAUAAGACUGGGAUAACUUCGGGAAACCGGAGCUAAUACCGGAUAAUAUAUUGAACCGCAUGGUUCAAUAGUGAAAGACGGUUUUGCUGUCACUUAUAGAUGGAUCCGCGCCGCAUUAGCUAGUUGGUAAGGUAACGGCUUACCAAGGCAACGAUUCGUAUCCGACCUGAGAGGGGGAUCGGACAAAAGGGAAAGGAGAGAAGGAAAAGAAGACGAAGGGAGGAAGGAGUAGGGAAGAUGCCGCAAAGGGCGAAAGCUUGACGGAGAAACGCCGCGUGAGUGAUGAAGGUCUUCGGAUCGUAAAACUCUGUUAUUAGGGAAGAACAAAUGUGUAAGUAACUAUGCACGUCUUGACGGUACCUAAUCAGAAAGCCACGGCUAACUACGUG